CCUACGGGAGGCAGCAGUGGGGAAUAUUGGACAAUGGGCAAGCCUGAUCCAGCCAUGCCGCGUGAGUGAUGAAGGCCUUAGGGUUGUAAAGCUCUUUUAUCCGGGACGAUAAUGACGGUACCGGAGGAAUAAGCCCCGGCUAACUUCGUGCCAGCAGCCGCGGUAAU
rnacentral:rRNA from 1 species